ACAGUCCGAUUAUAAGAAUACCAAGAACAAGGAGAAACUGUCAAGCCGCUCAUCUAUAGAUGCAUCUUCCAGUGGCUUCUCACGCAAGGUGGAAUGUCUGGCUUCGCUGGAGGAAUGUGUGGUGGUAUACCUCGAGGUGGAGGUUCUCCCGGUACUAUCAGAACCUGACCUGAUGAUAGCAUUUGGUGAUCCUGUGGUCAUGUCGGCUCUUCAAGAUGCCAAAUUGUGUUGGUAGCUGCAAAAGGGAAAAACUGUGUUGCUACUAGCCAAGAAGGAGCAAUUGUCAAGCCACUCAUCUGAGAUGCAUCUUCCAAGAGCUUCCCAGGAGGCACAACUGCUGGAAUGUCUGGCCUUGCUGGAGGAAUUGGUGGUGGUACACCUGGAUACAGGUAAUAUCGGUAUGGAUGUCAUCCUGAAUGUAAAGCACUUGGCCACUACAUGACAGCAUUUGGUGACCCUGAGGCCAUGGAGGCUCUUCAAGACGGUAAAGGAAGACUUGGACAUGGAACACUCUGAAUGUUUGCCUUUCUCCCAUGUACUUGUUAAUUGUUGUUGAUGCCAAGGGUGUGUUGGGCGGUCAAGGCCAAGGGAACAUGCUGCAAGACGUAAAUGAUCACCUACAGCAAUAACAACUGUGGUCUCAACCACAAAUCCGCAUUGUUGAGCCCUGCUCCACCUGGAGCUGCUGUCGGCGUCUUCUGAUGACCACAUUCCCGAGCAAUUGCUAUGAGUAACUGAAAAAGGUGUAGCCGAAUCCACAAAAGAUUGUGGAACACCGCAGGAAGUAUGAAAGGUUACAGUAGAUAGAAGAAAAGAAAUUUGAGUGUGACCAGCUUCGUCGGCAUGUCGAGGCAGAGUCCGAUUAUAAGAAGGCCAAUAAGGAGCAGUUGUCAAGUUG